AUCGGGGCAGGGUGAGUCGACCCCUAAGGCGAGGCCGAAAGGCGUAGUCGAUGGGAAACAGGUUAAUAUUCCUGUACUUGGUGUUACUGCGAAGGGGGGACGGAGAAGGCUAUGUUGGCCGGGCGACGGUUGUCCCGGUUUAAGCGUGUAGGCUGGUUUUCCAGGCAAAUCCGGAAAACCAAGGCUGAGGCGUGAUGACGAGGCACUACGGUGCUGAAGCGACAAAUGCCCUGCUUCCAGGAAAAGCCUCUAAGCAUCAGGUAACAUCAAAUCGUACCCCAAACCGACACAGGUGGUCAGGUAGAGAAUACCAAGGCGCUUGAGAGAACUCGGGUGAAGGAACUAGGCAAAAUGGUGCCGUAACUUCGGGAGAAGGCACGCUGAUAUGUAGGUGAAGCGACUUGCUCGUGGAGCUGAAAUCAGUCGAAGAUACCAGCUGGCUGCAACUGUUUAUUAAAAACACAGCACUGUGCAAACACGAAAGUGGACGUAUACGGUGUGACGCCUGCCCGGUGCCGGAAGGUUAAUUGAUGGGGUUAGCGGUAACGCGAAGCUCUUGAUCGAAGCCCCGGUAAACGGCGGCCGUAACUAUAACGGUCCUAAGGUAGCGAAAUUCCUUGUCGGGUAAGUUCCGACCUGCACGAAUGGCGUAAUGAUGGCCAGGCUGUCUCCACCCGAGACUCAGUGAAAUUGAACUCGCUGUGAAGAUGCAGUGUACCCGCGGCAAGACGGAAAGACCCCGUGAACCUUUACUAUAGCUUGACACUGAACAUUGAGCCUUGAUGUGUAGGAUAGGUGGGAGGCUUUGAAGUGUGGACGCCAGUCUGCAUGGAGCCGACCUUGAAAUACCACCCUUUAAUGUUUGAUGUUCUAACGUUGGCCCGUAAUCCGGGUUGCGGACAGUGUCUGGUGGGUAGUUUGACUGGGGCGGUCUCCUCCUAAAGAGUAACGGAGGAGCACGAAGGUUGGCUAAUCCUGGUCGGACAUCAGGAGGUUAGUGCAAUGGCAUAAGCCAGCUUGACUGCGAGCGUGACGGCGCGAGCAGGUGCGAAAGCAGGUCAUAGUGAUCCGGUGGUUCUGAAUGGAAGGGCCAUCGCUCAACGGAUAAAAGGUACUCCGGGGAUAACAGGCUGAUACCGCCCAAGAGUUCAUAUCGACGGCGGUGUUUGGCACCUCGAUGUCGGCUCAUCACAUCCUGGGGCUGAAGUAGGUCCCAAGGGUAUGGCUGUUCGCCAUUUAAAGUGGUACGCGAGCUGGGUUUAGAACGUCGUGAGACAGUUCGGUCCCUAUCUGCCGUGGGCGCUGGAGAACUGAGGGGGGCUGCUCCUAGUACGAGAGGACCGGAGUGGACGCAUCACUGGUGUUCGGGUUGUCAUGCCAAUGGCACUGCCCGGUAGCUAAAUGCGGAAGAGAUAAGUGCUGAAAGCAUCUAAGCACGAAACUUGC
rnacentral:rRNA from 1 species